UAUUUGCAGCAAUCCUGAGAACAUAGACUGCAGAGCCAAGGAAUUACCAGGUACUCCUUUAAAUAUGUUGGGUCAAAAGGUUACAUGUGAUCCUGAGGUCGGACUGAUUUGCAACAACAAGGAUCAAGAAGGACCAGCAAUAUGCUACAACUAUGAGAUCAGAGUCAGUUGUUGUACUAUUUGUCACACAACAACCCCACCAACUACUACUCCAGUUACAACUACACCCCCAACAACUACCCCUACCACAACCCCAUCAACUACAACUAUGAUUACAACUACACCCCCAACAUCUACCCCUACCAUAACCCCAUCAACUACCACAGAAACAACUACUCCCCCAACAUCUACCCCUACCAUAACCCCAUCAACUACCACAGAAACAUCAACACCCCAAACAUCUACCCCUACCAUUACCCCAUCAACUACCACAGAAACAACUACACCCCCAACAUCUACCCCUACAAUAACCCCAUCAACUACCACAGAAACAACUACACCCCCAACAUCUACCCCUACCAUAACCCCAUCAACUACCACAGAAACAACUACACCCCCAACAUUUACCCCUACCAUAACCCCAUCAACUACCACAGAAACAACUACACCCCCAACGUCUACCCAUACCAUAACCCCAUCAACUUCCACAGAAACAACUACACCCCCAACGUCUACCCCUACCAUAACCCCAUCAACGACCACAGAAACAACUACACCCCCAACAUCUACCCCUACAAUAACCCCAUCAACUACCACAGAAACAACUACACCCCCAACGUCUACCCAUAGCAUAACCCCAUCAACUUCCACAGAAACAACUACACCCCCAACAUCUACCCCUACCACAACCCAAUCAACUACCACAGAAACAACUACACCCCCAACAUCUACCCCUACCAUAACCCCAUCAACUACCACAGAAAUAACUACACCCCCAACAUCUACCCCAACCAUAACCCCAUCAACUACCACAGAAACAACUACACCCCCAACAUCUACCCCUACCAUAACCCCAUCAACUACCACAGAAACAACUACACCCCCAACAUCUACCCCUACCAUUACCCCAUCAACUACCACAGAAACAACUACACCCCCAACAUCUACCCCUACCAUUACCCCAUCAACUACCACAGAAACAACUACACCCCCAACAUCUACCCCUACCAUUACCCCAUCAACUACCACAGAAACAACUACAUCCCCAACAUCUACCCCUACCAUUACACCAUCAACUACUACUAUAGAAGCAACUACAUCCCCAACAUCUACCCCUACCAUAACCCCAUCAACUACCACAGAAACAACUACACCCCCAACAUCUACCCCUACCAUUACCCCAUCAACUACCACAGAAACAACUACAUCCCCAACAUCUACCCCUACCAUUACACCAUCAACUACUACUAUAGAAGCAACUACAUCCCCAACAUCUACCCCUACCAUAACCCCAUCAUCUACCACAGAAACAACUACACCCCCAACAUCCACCCCUACGGGUACCUCAACGACUCCUCUUACACCCUGUCUGCCUGGUUGUCACUGGUCAGGUUGGAUUGACACUAACUAUCCCGAAUUUGGACCAGGUGGAGGAGAUUAUGAAAUUCUAGAAAAUAUUGUUAAAUCUCAUCCUAGUAUUUGCAGCAAACCUGAGAACAUAGACUGCAGAGCCAAGGAAUUACCAGGUACUCCUUUAAAUAUGUUGGGUCAAAAGGUUACAUGUGAUCCUGGGGUCGGACUGAUUUGCAACAACAAGGAUCAAGAAGGACCAGCAAUAUGCUACAACUAUGAGAUCAGAGUCAGUUGUUGUACUAUUUGUCACUCAACAACCCCACCAACUACUACUCCAGUUACAACUACACCCCCAACAACUACCCGCACCACAACCCCAUCAACUACAGAAACUACUACAUCCCCAAAAUCCACCCCUUACACAACCCCAUCAACUACAACUACGGUAACAACUACACCCCCAACAUCUACCCCUACCACCACCCCAUCAACUACAACUACAGAAACUACUACAUCCCCAAAAUCCACCCCUACCAUGACCCCAUCAACUACAACUACAGUUACAACUACACCCCCAACAUCCACCCCUACCAUAUCCCCAUCAACUAAAACUACAGUAACAGCUACACCCCAAACAUCUACCCAUACCAUAACCCCAUCAACUUCCACAGAAACAACUACACCCCCAACAUCUACCCCUACCACCACCCCAUCAACUACAACUACAGAAACUACUACAUCCCCAAAAUCCACCCCUACCAUGACCCCAUCAACUACAACUACAGUUACAACUACACCCCCAACAUCCACCCCUACCAUAUCCCCAUCAACUAAAACUACGGUAACAGCUACACCCCAAACAUCUACCCAUACCAUAACCCCAUCAACUUCCACAGAAACAACUACACCCCCAACAUCUACCCCUACCACCACCCCAUCAACUACAACUACAGAAACUACUACACCCCCAAAAUCCACCCAUAUCACAACCCCAUCAACUACAACUACGGUAACAACUACACCCCCAACAACUACCCCUACCAUUACCCCAUCAACGACUACUACAGAAACAACUACAUCCCCAACCUCUACCAAAACCCCAUCAACUACAACUACAGAAACUACUACAUCCCCAACAUCCACCCCUACCCCAACCCCAUCAACUUCAACUACGAUUACAACUACACCCCCGAUAUCUACCCCUACCACAACCCCAUCAACUACAACUACAGAAACAACUACAUCCCCAACAUCCACCCCUAUCACAACAUCAACCACAACUACGAUAACAACUACACCCUCAACAUCUACGCCUUCCACAACCCCAUCAACUACUACUACAAUAACAACCCCAACAUCUAUCUUUACCAUAACCCCAUCAACUACAACUACAGAAACGACUACAUCCCCAACAUCCACUCCUAUCACAACAUCAACUAAUACUACGAUAGCAACUACACUCCCAGCAUCUACCUCCACCAUAACCCCAUCAACUACAACUACAGUAACAACUAUACCCCCGGCAUCUACCUCUACCAUAACCCCAUCAAUUACUUCAGAAACAACUACACCCGCAACAUCUACUCUUACCACAACCCCAUCUACAACUCCAAUAACAACUACAACCUCACCAUCAACCCCUAUGACUGUACCAACUUUAUCUCCAAUAACUACCAAGAGUCCUACCUCUACCACAAACCCGACAUCCACAUCCACACCACCUCCACCCAAAGACUGUCCAUAUGUUGAUCCACCAAGAAAGGAUGGUGAUUCUUGGAAGCCAAACAACUGCUCAACUGAUACGUGUGUGAAUGGUACAAUUAUAAAAACGUUUGUGGACUGUGAGGAUGUUGAAGAGCUUGUGUGUGUAAAUGGAUAUCCACCAGCGAAGGUCUACGACGAGUUCGGUUGCUGUUUUCACUAUGAAUGUGAAUGUAUUUGCUCUGGAUGGGGAGAUCCUCAUUACGUCACAUUUGAUGGACAAUAUUACAGUUUCCAAGAGAAUUGCACCUAUGUUUUGGUUAAAGAAAUUGUUCCUCGUUAUAACUUCAGGAUUGAGAUUGACAACUACAACUGUGACAAAUCUGGACUUGUGACCUGUCCUCGGUCUCUGUUUGUCUACUACAAGUCCUAUACAAUUGUUCUCACUCCUAUCAACACGGAAACAACAACUAGUUUGGUUACCAUCAAUGGUAAGCAGGUCUUCCCCACUUAUUCUAAUGAAGACCUCAUGAUCACCAGCACUGGUGUCCAGUUACUGUUGAAGAUCCCAGCCAUUCAAGCAGAAGUGAUGUUCAGGAGUAUUCAGUUCAGCGUUUCCCUGCCUUACUCCCUUUUCCACAGCAACACAGAGGGACAGUGUGGCACUUGUGACAAUAAUAAGGAAAACGACUGCAGAUCUCCAAACGGUCAGAUCGCUCCGUGUCCUGACACGGCCCAUCGGUGGCAGAUUCCUGAUGCCAAUAAAACCUAUUGUAAACCUGCCCCCCCCCCACCACCACCCCCCCCACCACCCCCCUGCCAGCCAGACAGGACAAAGAUCUGUGACAUCAUCAUGAGCCAGGUCUUCAAAUCAUGCCAUGACGUGAUCCCACCGGGACCUUUCUUUGAGGCCUGUAAAUACGAUGUCUGCCACCUGACAAAUAAGACGAUCGGCUGCUCCAGCCUGGAGGCCUACGCCCAAACGUGUGUGAAACAUAGCGUCUGCAUUGACUGGAGGGGAUCAACUAACGGACUAUGUGCAUAUAAAUGCCCUAAACCCAAAGUGUAUAAAGCAUGUGGCCCGGCUAUCCAGCCAACUUGCAAUUCAAGAUACUAUGAGAAGUACAUACAGCCAUGCGAGGGAAUCCCAUCAGACCAAAAAUUUGUGUGUGAUGAAGUCAGGGAGGGCUGUUUCUGCCCAGAGGGAACCAUCUUGUUCAAUACAUACUCUGGCACCUGUGUUAAAAACUGUGGAUGCACGGGACCUGAUGGCACCAAUAAACAGCCUGGCGAGACUUGGCGGAGUAACUGCCUUGAGUGUGAUUGUAACAAAGACACAAUGAGUGUCCAGUGUAGGCCAGUGGUAUGUCCAACACAACAAGUUGUUACUUGUAAGGAGGUUGGUGAGGUGCUGGUCAAGGAAACAGUGGACUGCUGUCAGAAAAACAAAUGUGUGUGUGAUGUGAGUGGCUGUCCACAACCACCCCUCUGCCCACUAGGAACUGAGCUGAAUACAUCAAAGGGAAGUUGCUGCCUGACUUACACCUGCGUUCCCAAAUCUGUGUGUGUCUUCAACAACAAGGAAUAUCAGCCUGGGGAUGUUUGGUCGUCCCCUAGUGAUUCCUGUGUGCAGUAUAAUUGCACAAACAUAAAAGACAAGUUCAUCCCUGUGGAUUCCAAAAUACAGUGUCCAGAUUUCCGUCCAGAAGACUGCAUCCCUGGAACUGAGACGACUGAUGCAAAUGGCUGCUGUGUAUCAUGCACACUAAGUAACUGUGCUGUGAAGAAGAGCACCACCUACCUCCAGGUUCAUGACUGCAGGUCUGUUGUACCAGUGGAGCUGGCAGCCUGUGGGGGAGCCUGUGGAACAUCUUCUAUGUACUCUGCAGUGAAAAUGGGCUUGAUGCACUCCUGCUCCUGCUGUCAGGAGUUGUCGACCAGUGUGAGGCAGGUGGAUAUGGUCUGCUCUAAUGGAAAGAAGACCUCUCAGUCCUAUACUUACAUUAAUAAGUGUGGCUGCAGUGUGACUGAGUGUGACGACAAGCACUAAUGUAUUCUGUUCAAUUUACAGUCUCUUAAAAUGAAUGUAAAAAAAACUUUUUAUGUAAAGAGACAGUCUGUGAUUCAAACACAACAGGGAUAUUCAAUUUGAAAAAAUGGUGAUACCAGUCACAGAUUGACUCUUUUAACUGUAGGACAUAUUAAACACUUUCAUCUAAAUGAUUUGUCUAAACAUAUUAAACUACUUUAACUUCCAUCUCUACUUUAUUAUUAAAAACAAUCUGUUUUUCUAUGCAAACUUAUUAAACUUAUUCAAAGCAUGAA